rnacentral:rRNA from 1 species
AUUGAACGCUGGCGGCAUGCCUUACACAUGCAAGUCGAACGGUAACAGGUCUUCGGAUGCUGACGAGUGGCGAACGGGUGAGUAAUACAUCGGAACGUGCCCGAUCGUGGGGGAUAACGAGGCGAAAGCUUUGCUAAUACGCAUACCGACUACCGAUGAAAACGGGGGAUCUUUCGACCCCGCGCGGACCGAGCCGCCGAUGGCAGAUUAGGUAGUUGGUGGGAUAAAAGCUUACCAAGCCGACGAUCUGUAGCUGGUCUGAGAGGAUGAUCAGCCACACUGGGACUGAGACACGGCCCAGACUCCUACGGGAGGCAGCAGUGGGGAAUUUUGGACAAUAGGCGAAAGCCUGAUCCAGCCAUGCCGCGUGCAGGAUGAAGGCCUUCGGGUUGUAAACUGCUUUUGUACGGAACGAAAAGCCUCUUUCUAAUAAAGAGGGGUCAUGACGGUACCGUAAGAAUAAGCACCGGCUAACUACGUG